rnacentral:rRNA from 1 species
GAGUUUGAACCUGGCUCAGGAUGAACGCUGGCGGCGUGCCUAACACAUGCAAGUCGAGCGAGAAACAAGGGACGGAGAUUUCGGUUGAAGUUUCUUGCGGAAAGCGGCGGACGGGUGAGUAACGCGUAGGCAACCUGCCCUUUGCAGAGGGAUAGCCUCGGGAAACCGGGAUUAAAACCUCAUGAUACUGAGAGCCCGCAUGGGCUUUUGGCCAAAGAUUUAUCGGCAGAGGAUGGGCCUGCGUCUGAUUAGUUAGUUGGUGGGGUAACGGCCUACCAAGGCGACGAUCAGUAGCCGACCUGAGAGGGUGAUCGGCCACAUUGGAACUGAGACACGGUCCAAACUCCUACGGGAGGCAGCAGUGGGGAAUCUUGCACAAUGGGCGAAAGCCUGAUGCAGCAACGCCGCGUGAGCGAAGAAGGCCUUUGGGUCGUAAAGCUCUGUCCUAAGGGAAGAAGGAAGUGACGGUACCUUAGGAGGAA